rnacentral:rRNA from 1 species
GCCUCUUGCCAUCGGAUGUGCCCAGAUGGGAUUAGCUAGUAGGUGGGGUAACGGCUCACCUAGGCGACGAUCCCUAGCUGGUCUGAGAGGAUGACCAGCCACACUGGAACUGAGACACGGUCCAGACUCCUACGGGAGGCAGCAGUGGGGAAUAUUGCACAAUGGGCGCAAGCCUGAUGCAGCCAUGCCGCGUGUAUGAAGAAGGCCUUCGGGUUGUAAAGUACUUUCAGCGGGGAGGAAGGGAGUAAAGUUAAUACCUUUGCUCAUUGACGUUACCCGCAGAAGAAGCACCGGCUAACUCCGUGCCAGCAGCCGCGGUAAUACGGAGGGUGCAAGCGUUAAUCGGAAUUACUGGGCGUAAAGCGCACGCAGGCGGUUUGUUAAGUCAGAUGUGAAAUCCCCGGGCUCAACCUGGGAACUGCAUCUGAUACUGGCAAGCUUGAGUCUCGUAGAGGGGGGUAGAAUUCC